rnacentral:rRNA from 1 species
UACGAAGGGGCUAGCGUUGCUCGGAAUUACUGGGCGUAAAGCGCACGUAGGCGGCUUUCUAAGUCGGGGUGAAAUCCUGGAGCUCAACUCCAGAACUGCCUUCGAUACUGGAGCUUGAGUCGGGAGAGGUGAGUGGAACUGCGAGUGUAGAGGUGAAGUUCGUAGAUAUUGCAAGAACACCAGUGGCGAAGGCGGACUCACUGGCCCGGUACUGACGCUGAGGUGCGAAAGCGUG